UUCGACAUCAAUCACCUCUUCCCUCCGAUCCUUUUUGAGGUCUUCUUUGUAUAUCGCGAAAUUAUUUCAGAAGUAGGCACCGUAAAGGCUCUCAUCGUUCCUGCUGCCCAACUCAUCUCUGUCUCACCAUCACCAGCCACCAUCCUAGAUGUUUCAUAUCUUUGACUGUUUAAUAUUGUCCGGUAGUUGAACAUUUGUCCAAUAUCAAGUGUUUCAAACAAGGUGGAGGUGAUAGAAGCUAGAAAAUUGGCUAAAAGUAACACUAAAGAAUACUAUGACGAUUCUUGGGGCCAAAAUUAUCAGAAGAUGGGGUAUAGAAACAACAACGACGAGGAGGCAUUAGAUGCUGUUGAGAAUGGUGUUUCAAUAGGUUAUAAUUUCACUGAAGAAGGGAGCUGCAUCUACUGAAGUAUGACAAAAGAGAGAAGCCCAAAUUCUGCCCUCCAAGCUUACCCACGAGGAGUAAGCACUGUUCUGAGUAUCCUUAAAUUUAUGGAACUUCCCUAUUCCGAUGCAUAACCUGAUUUAGGUGCUGCAACUGCUGAAAGUUUCAUUGCUCUCCAAGACUCCUUUGGAAAAUAUUGUAUCUUAUAGCCGUGGAAAACUCAUGCGCAAAAUUAAACAAGAAAGCCAUAUGUCAUAACUCAAAUAGCAUGAAGCAGUUUUUGGUCAGAAAUUUGGUCGUGGAAGAUUUCAAUGUCAUCGAGAGCGAAAGAAAUUUAUCAGCGCCAUUUAUUGUCUAAUAUUACAUCUAUUGGAUAACAAUUAUUAGAUGCACAAUUAUACUAGCAUUGGAUCCAUAGUUUACCUUAUAUUUUUAUUUUAUGUUGUUGGUACAUUUGAUAUUUAUGGAUUAUCUGUUAUCUUUGGUUGUCGUAGAUUCUAUUAAAUGUAUUGAGCUUUUUGGAAUAA